CCAGACUGCGUGUGCGCAGUGUUCGAACGCUUUUAGAUUCUCAAUUUCGUGCUCAAGUUCUGUGUAUGUGUUCUGUGAUAUUUAAUAAAGGUUAACCCUUGCGCGGCUCGGGCGGUCCAUCAGACCCGGUGGCCUCGCGGGACCGGACAGAUAUUUUGGAAAAAAGAAGAACCAAUUUUCGAAUGAAAAAUGGUUGGAUUACCUUAAGUUAUUGAUUAGCUGGAGCAAGUUAUAAUAAUGGUGAUUAGCUAAAAUUCCCUAAUCCACUAUUUGGAUUACCAAAUCGGUCACCGUGGAUAGUGCUUGUCUCUGAGGCCAAGACUCAGUUGAACUAAGGUUCUACGCCGGCUCUACGUCGAGGUGCCUCGUCGGCCAGAGGGAGUUCGUGUUCUCCCCAUUCUCCUCGAGUAUUUCGGCGGCUUACAUUCCGCAUGGUCAUUCUCGAAGUCAUAAUUUUCAGACGGCACACGACUCGGUAUGUGGAGCAUCGCGGCUUGUGCAAUGACCUUGUCGCUGAGGUAGAUGGAUGGGCGAACUCAAUGUUUCAACAAGGAGUGGAGAUUGCUAACAACUGCCUAAGCAUCCCCAGAGGUCUAGCAGAUCAAAGGCAUUUGCUUUGCGAGUGCAUUUACCAUUGGAUCGGAAUUGCUUGGAUGAUGACAGAAACUCAACGGACUGAAGUUAUACUAUAAGGUUAAGAUUAAGAUCGAUGUAUCGAAGCGAACGUGAACAUCAAGAAUUAAAAGCCUUUUAAUAACAGACCGCUUGGGAGGACGGUUUCAACCGAAACGAAGCUAAGAAAAAUAAUACUUCAGUUUUAUAUAUAUAUUUCAGAACUAGCUGGCCCGGCAGACUUCGUAGUGCCUCAAUCGAUAAAUAAAAGACCUAAACUUUUGUAUAAAAUAAAUUUAAAACAAACAAAAGGAAUCCGUCUGACGAGGGACACAUCAAUUAGGAAAAACAAAAUUGUUAUUUUUAUUUAAUUCUGAGUAUUUUCAUAUUUAUCUACCUUUUAAACCUUCUCUGAACUUCUACAAAUAAUUCAAGACCAAAAUAAGCCAAAUCGGUCCAGCCGUUGUCGAGUUUUAGCGAGACUAACGAACAGCAAUUCAUUUUUAUGUAUAUGGAUUAUUUAGUUUGAUCGUGUCGCAGAACAAUAAUUAUGUAUCGUAUUGUUUCGCUUAUUUCAAUUUUUAUUUUUAAUGUUUCGAAGUUAUUUGCAAAAUAUAUUUUUUUAUACAUGCAUAUCUAUGUCUUCAGUUCUUGUCUUCAAGGUUUUGAAUUGUUGAGUAAUUUCUCUAUUUGCUAUUCUUGCAUUCCCAAUAUUAAUGAGAGUUGCUUUUGAUUACAUUUAGUAUUAGUACAGCUACACUAUAUUUAUUUGUAAAAUCAACUAUUAUUUCAGAUCCGUACAUACACUGAAGCUGCGUGAAGAUAUAAAUGUAGAAUAAAAUAGACAUAAUUCCUAUUUACCAUGAAACAAUUCUCUUAAAUCUACUUUGAAUAGAGGCCUCUUUUUGUCGCAAAGCAACUUUAAUAGCAGCCUGGAUUGCGCCACGACCGGUGCGAUAGAAACACUUUAAUUAGAGCUACACAAGCAACCCAGAGUGGCCGGGAAUUGCCACUUUUUGCCAAUUGUCGCCUCUUUGUAUCCACUUUCCCCCCUUUUCCCGAUAUAGUGUCACGUGCGGCGUCGAUAUGCCAAUUAAGUCAUUGUACCGAUGCAAUUAAACUUGCAGUUUUAUUUU